rnacentral:rRNA from 1 species
AUACAGAGGGUGCAAGCGUUAAUCGGAAUUACUGGGCGUAAAGAGCACGUAGGUGGUUUUUUAAGUUGGAUGUGAAAUCCCCGGGCUUAACCUGGGGCGGUCAUUCAAUACUGGAAGACUAGAGUGCAGUAGAGGGAAGUGGAAUUUCCGGUGUAGCGGUGAAAUGCGUAGAUACCGGAAGGAACAUCAGUGGCGAAGGCGGCUACCUGGACCGGUACUGACGCUGAGGUGCGAAAGCGUGGGGAGCAAACAGGAUUAGAAACCCCAGUAGUCC